CUUUUUUCUUUGCUUAAAAAAAGGACUUCUGGCAGCAGGAGGUGUGUAUGAGGGGAGUGCGAUGAUUGAUGAAUCACCAGCAAUGAUAUCUCUUCUUUUCAACACCUGUGCCUCCCUCCACUGAGCCUCAAUGCUUCACCAUUUGUUGCCUAGCCUCAGCCACAUCCAACGCCUCUCAACCGCCUCUACUCAGCCAGUUUUAUCACUUUCAUCCACGCCUCCACUGUCCACCCUCUGGGCUUAGUUCUACUCCAUUCAUCAGUCUGUUCAUAAUAAAUCUCUCUGUCACAACCUUUAA